CGUGCGUGGAUUUCGAAAGGAGAGCCGGCGCCUGUGAAUCGGCCGGCGGAGAUCGAUUAAUUUUCUUCCUUCCACAACGCGCCUGUUAGUACCAUUAAAUGCAACGUUAACAAAGUUCUCCGCCGGUGAACCAGUGCCUUGUGAAAUAAUGCUUGUUCGCUGUACACUGAUACUCUCUCGUUCGUUAAAACCAUGCCGUUUACGAGAGCUUUGUUCUGAAACAUCUCGUACGGGAGAAAAAAUGAAAAGAAACAAAAAUCAACCAUAAAAGAGCGCGGAGAGGAUGAACUUGGGACUCUGUAAACGUGAUCCACUGGCACCCGUAGCGCUCAAAGCUCUUUCAGCAUUAUCCUUAGACCACCGAGGAAGAGUAAAUACGAGACAGCUUUACGGGAUUUAGAAAAAUUGCAGUGCUUGAUAAUCUGCUGAAUCUUCUACGUCAAAUCAACGUAGUUGAGAUCCCACCUUGCCGAUCCCCGGACGGGCGAACAAACUGAGAGGGCAAACCUGGAUACGAUAUUAACGCAUCUGCGAGAGCGAGUUAAAAAGCGCAACGUUAUUCUCUCGAGGAAGUACGGCACACCCGUUAGAAAUUAGGCCAUACUUCCGGACAACAACAACAAGAUUCCGCAAUUGCCGCUGAACGUUCGUCGAAUAACAUCUGGUCGGACGAGCUUGGACAUUCCCAAGCCUCGAGUGUGAAGAAAAUUCUUGGGAACAGCCUGUUAAACGAGUCGGAAUGGCCCGAAGACAUGGGGAUGGCGGCAGAAGAACCCCUAAAACCUUCCGUAGAAGAAAGUUUGUAAAUCAUUAGAGGGGCCAUAUACGCUUGGGAAAACCGACGAGUUUCGCGCGGCGCCGCGACGUUGUACAAUUUUCACGAAAACCAACUCCGCCCGUGGCCGGGCGCGAUUUAUCGUUAACCACGCUACAUUCGCCGUUAAUUCGCCCGUGAGAACAAAAGAUCUCGAGCGUGACGGGGGGAUUUUCGAGGUCUAAAUCCUAUAUGCCUGUGUAUCCAUCAUUUGCGCAUGCGGUACAUUCGUAAACUCAUAUAUAUUAAUUAUCCCCCGAUAUUAAUAGCACAACCGAUGCGCGUAUCUCUCGUGCGCGGUAACUAAUUCGCAACGAUCGAAGUCACAUUGCGGUGGGAAUGGUCGUAGGACGAUACCGUCGAUAGAUAAAUCGCGCAUGAUAGAUAACGUUGAUCUAACUAUAAAUUAUACAUGUACGUAUAUGUGUAAUUUUCAUGCUAACCAGUUAAUCGCGCCACAAGCGUGAUCGCGUUGCGUCAAAUCGCGCGUCCUAUAAUUACUGCGAUCGAAUAUUCCGUCAACGUAUCACCGAAUCAUGGCGUGUGUCCCCCCGUAUAUCCCGCGAGCUAUUAUAAAAUAUUCGGCGACCGUUACCACGUGUCGGCGAGUUUGCGUGUUCGUUUGAAGAAAGCGUUUGAUCAAAUAUAAGGUAAACCUGUGAUAUGUUCAAUGAUACAAACGUUAAUCGGACUGAUAAUGCGUGACGAAGGUUUCAAUAAUCUUUACCGUUUCCGAGAUAUUUCAUUAUGUGCUCGCAUGUACGUGAGUAUAAGAAUA